UACCNUGCAGUCGAGCGGACCAAUGCUCAUUUCAGCUUCGCUGAUUUGAGCAACGGUUAGCGGCGGACGGGUGAGUAACGCGUGGGCAACCUGCCCUGUGCAGGGGGAUAACACAGCGAAAGCUGUGCUAAUACCCCAUAAGACUACGUUAUCGCAUGAUAGAGUAGUCAAAGCUUUAGCGGCACAGGAUGGGCCCGCGUCUGAUUAGCUAGUUGGUGGGGUAACGGCCUACCAAGGCGACGAUCAGUAGCCGACCUGAGAGGGUGAUCGGCCACACUGGAACUGAGACACGGUCCAGACUCCUACGGGAGGCAGCAGUGGGGAAUAUUGCACAAUGGGGGAAACCCUGAUGCAGCAACGCCGCGUGAGCGAAGAAGGCCUUCGGGUCGUAAAGCUCUGCCCUAAGGGAAGAAGUAUGACGGUACCUUAGGAGGAAGCCCCGACUAACUACGUGCCAGCAGCCGCGGUAAUACGUAGGGGGCGAGCGUUAUCCGGAAUCACUGGGCGUAAAGGGUGCGUAGGCGGCCGAGUAAGCCAGAGGUGAAAGGCUACGGCUUAACCGUAGUAAGCCUUUGGAACUACUUGGCUUGAGUGCAGGAGAGGAGAGUGGAAUUCCUAGUGUAGCGGUGAAAUGCGUAGAUAUUAGGAGGAACACCCAGUGGCGAAGGCGACUCUCUGGACUGUAACUGACGCUGANGCACGAAAGCGUGGGGAGCAAACAGGAUUAGAUACCCUGGUAGUCCACGCCGUAAACGAUGAGUGCUAGGUGUCGGGGGUUCACACCCUCGGUGCCGGAGUUAAGCAAUAAGCACUCCGCCUGGGGAGUACGGUCGCAAGACUGAANCUCNAAGGAAUUGACGGGGAC
rnacentral:rRNA from 1 species